UACAGAGGUCCCAAGCGUUAGGCGGAAUCACUGGGCUUAAAGCGUGUGUAGGCGGAUUUGUAAGUACCUUGUGAAAUCCCACGGCUUAACCGUGGAACUGCUUGGUAUACUGCUUAUCUUGGGCCACUUAGGGGUUACCGGAACAAACGGUGGAGCGGUGAAAUGCGUAGAUAUCGUUUGGAACGCCAAUGGUGAAAACAGGUAACUGGGAGUGUGCCGACGCUGAGACACGAAAGCCAGGGGAGCGAACGGG
rnacentral:rRNA from 1 species